UACAGAGGUCUCAAGCGUUGUUCGGAUUCAUUGGGCGUAAAGGGUGUGUAGGUGGCGCCGUAAGUCGGGUGUGAAAUUUCGGAGCUUAACUCCGAAACUGCAUUCGAUACUGCGGUGCUUGAGGACUGGAGAGGAGACUGGAAUUCAUGGUGUAGCAGUGAAAUGCGUAGAGAUGACAUAGAACACCAAUUGCGAAGGCAGCUGGCUACACGAAUAUUGACACUGAUGCACGAAAGCGUGGGGAUCAAACAGG
rnacentral:rRNA from 1 species